UACAGAGGGUGCGAGCGUUGUCCGGAAUCACUGGGCGUAAAGGGCGCGUAGGUGGUGACCUAAGUGUGCGGUGAAAGCCCGAGGCUCAACCUCGGGUCGGCCGUGCGAACUGGGUCACUGGAGCAGAAUAGAGGCAGGUGGAAUUCCGGGUGUAGCGGUGGAAUGCGUAGAGAUCCGGAAGAACACCGGUGGCGAAGGCGGCCUGCUGGGCAGUGGCUGACGCUGAGGCGCGACAGCGUGGGGAGCAAACAGG
rnacentral:rRNA from 1 species